rnacentral:rRNA from 1 species
CGGGAUUGGAGGAAAGCAGGGGAUCGUAAGACCUUGCGCUUUUGGAGCGGCCGAUGUCUGAUUAGCUAGUUGGUGGGGUAAUGGCCUACCAAAGCUUCGAUCGGUAGCUGGUCUGAGAGGACGGCCAGCCACACUGGGACUGAGACACGACCCAGACUUCUACGGGAGGCAGCAGUGGGGAAUUUUGGACAAUGGGCGCAAGCCUGAUCCAGCCAUGCCGCGUGAGUGAAGAAGGCCUUCGGGUUGUAAAGCUCUUUCAGCCGGGAAGAAAAGGCUGCGACUAAUAAUCGCAGUUCAUGACGGUACCGGAAGAAGAAGCACCGGCUAACUACGUGCCAGCAGCCGCGGUAAUACGUAGGGUGCGAGCGUUAAUCGGAAUUACUGGGCGUAAAGGGUGCGCAGGCGGUUUUGUAAGUCAGAUGUGA